AGUAUGAUCGACAGCGACCAAGAUGGCGGCGCCCACUGUUAUUCCGGAUACCGUCAGUGUUCGAAAGGCUGUGUCCCUCAUCAAUGCUAUAGACACGGGAAGGUUCUCUCGGUUGCUCUCCCGCAUCCUUCAGAAGCUUCACCUAAAGACUGAGAGUACUUUCACAGAAGAGGAGGAAGAAAAGCUUCAAGUCGCUUUUUCAAUGGAGAAGCAAGAUCUUCAUCUUGUCCUUGAAACCAUUGCAUUCAUUUUGGAACAGGCUGUGUAUCACAACUUGAAGCCAACUGUUCUGCAGCAGCAGUUGGAGCAUUCCAAAGUGGAUCACGACAGAGCAGAAGUGUUUGCCACCACAUGGGCUGCUGCAGGUCCAGAGACAGUGGAAAAGUUCAGACAGAGGACUUUGUCACCUCAGAAGCUUGAGUCUGUUGGAUGGCAGCUUAACCUACAGAUGGCUCAAUCAACCCAAGCAAAACAAAAAUCUCCUCAAGCUGUUUUAGAACUUGGAAUGAGCAAUGAAGAUUCAAAGAUGAACUUCAUCAACUUGUGGGACAGCCAGCAAUGCUCCUGCAGAUUAUAUUGUUGAGUAAAACUUCCAUGCAGCAGCUGAUGCAUGAACAUGGAGAAAGUGUUUGUGGAAUUCAGUCAUCAAGAGCUGUUUGAGUUCUAUAACAAGUUGGAGACUAUACAAGCACAGCUGGAUUCUCUUACAUGAUACUGUGUGAAGACUUAAUUUCUCCCAUCACAUUCCUCUCACUUCAGUAUUGAAGAUAACUUGGCUGGCAGUGUUUGCUGAAAUGCUUAGUUGGCUGUUGUCGAUAAAUGGCUUAUCUCUUCUUUGGCCAGUAACUUAAAUUAAAUCAUUGAUAGGAAAACUGAAUUUCUAAUUGACUUAAUCUCCUCGGAGUUCCCAGUGUUCCAAGAACAUGUAUCAUUGAGGGGCAGGGUAUGGGCUACCUUGUUUUGCUGUUCUUUGAAUUACUUUGGAAUAUAUUGUGUCGAUUUUGGUUUUGGUGACGUUUCUGCAGAGAAGAUGGUAACUUAAAUAUUGGUGGUCCAUAAAUGAAAUGUGUAUUGUUACUGUUUUCUAAGACUGUAACCUAUUCAAAAAUUCUAUUUUUAGUGGGGAAACUCCCCAGACUAGGUGGGUGAAGGUCUUGCUUACUUUCUUACCCAACUAACAAUGAAUCCAAGUAUAGUCCACACAAGCUUUUGAACCCUGCAUAUGCAGAUCCCAGUCAGGGAUAGUCCCUACUUCUGCUCUCCUAGUUUAUAAUCAAAAUGGAGAAAUCUAGAAAUUUUAAGGACAGAUUUAGUUUGAGGCACAGUUUUGGUCAAGCACAUGAGAUGGCCUUUUCUUGCUUUUCUCCAGGUUUCAUAGAUUUGAUACUCUGACAACAUUUAUCUUUUUACUGUGCCUAUACACCCACCUGUUCUUCCUUCAGAUUGGUCUUUUGUGUGAUUUCCAGGCCUUCUCCCACUUAAGGCAGUAGCCAGGACCAGACUCCUCAAAUCUAGCUUGUAUAUUUCAAUACCACUAUUCUUUAAGACUAUGCCUAUUCAAGAGCCUUAGUUCUGCUAAUGGAGAUGAUUUUCUCUCUCUUAUUCCUUAGCUAAUGAAUAAUGACAACUAUAUCCACCUGUAUGCUAUCGUUCCCACCCUUUACCAUGAGGUCCCAGGGUAGGUUACAACUAUUUAAAAAUACAGUGUUAAAAACCCCCAGUUAAAACAGAUUACAAUCAAUAGAAUAGGGUGCAUCUUAAAAUAUAUAUCUCAGGUGUCAAAGGCAACAGUAAGGAGGUGUGCUUUAAGCAUUUGGCAAGAAUUAUACAAUGAAGAUGACAGAUACGUGUGUGUGUGUGUGUGUGUGUGUGUGUAGGGGGGAUUCUGCAAUGUAGGGACUGCUGGAGGGAAUGUCUUCUCCUUAUCUCCCAGGGGAAAAACCUUCUGAAGGUGGUAGAACUACAAAGUGUGUCCUCUCUGCCGAUGUUGGCACCCUAAACUCCUACCCAACCUAGUGGCAAGUCAGCUUGCCAAAGUUCAAAGACCAGGGGUCAAUCUACACAGUCGAAGUCUAACCUGAAGCACAGACCCAUAGAGCGCCAGGCACAUCCAAGCCAAGGUCCACCAACAUGGGCAGACACAGCGCCUCUGCUCUGCUGCCCUUUUAUACCUUGCAUGCUGAUUGCAGCAUCUGGACUUGAUGAGGCUUGUGACCCUCACCUGUUCCAAGCCUACUGCAGCUGAGGAAUCAUACCUCCCAAAGCUAGCGAGCUCCACCUGGCCAGCUAGGGAGCUGGGCUGUGGGCCCUGGCCUGCCUCAGUCUCCUGGAUCACCCCUCCUGCUGCCCCCUAUGCCUUAGAGCCUGCCAUGUUCAUGGAGAAAGGGGUCCUUCUGGCUCGGGUGAUGGGUCCUGCUGCUCUGGUUCCUGUGCACUGACCUUCAUCCCCUUACCAUUCUCCAUCACCCCGUGAGUACUUCUUUCCCUAUUCUCUGUAUGUCCUGGUGUGUCCCAGUCCUGGCUACCCCCCUUUGCCAGGAUCCCAUUCCUCCCCCCUGUCGUCUUACCAGUUCAUGACAGUCUGUAGUCUUUUAGAUGCAUAGGGCUUGUUGCUGUAACCGCUAAUGGUCUGCUGGUCUGGGAAGGAAUAAGAUGCUUGUAUGGUAUAUUAUUGAGCAGGGACAGGGACCUAUUUUUAAACCUAUGAGCUUCAUGCUCCUCUGGGCAGCCUGCCAGGGACCAUGUGCGUUUGGUAAGUGUGGCCAGACACAAAAGCAGCCAGAGCAAUAAAUGUAAAUUUCACCUUCGUGCAGAUUGGUUUCUACACACCUACCCUCUCGAUCCUCCAUGCAGGCAGGCAAGAGGCAUUAUCAAGCUUUCAAGGACACAUUCAAACCAGGCAAAAAGGACUUGGGAUGCAAAUAGAACCAGUGAGCAGUGUGGCUUGGGGGCAUACCAAUGGCUUCGUAGAAAGACAGGGAGGGCCACAUUUCCCCAGGCCUGAGGUUCCCUAUUGCAACACAUGCAAGAAACAAAGAAGGAGCAAAGCUGGACUCAAAUCCCCAUCCCAACAUACAGCUAUUUCUCAGGUUUGUAGAGAAUUUUAUGUGAUAAGGUGUUUACACACUCUACCCUGUGUCUGCUAUCUGAAGUCAAACAGUUAAGCAAAAGGUUGUGCACAGCAGUCCUCAUUUACUUGUUACUUACUGCAUAGUUGGAGGAACUGGAGAUGGAGAGAAGGGUUAAUUUCCUUCAUGAGUUUAAUCCCUCAUGUACGAGAUAAGCUAACAGGUGCAAGGUCAGCCAAGCCAGUUGCUAUGACAGCGGUCGAGUGCCAUCUAUAUUAGUGAUAUGUCCGGUCAGUGAGUCCUCCCGUGAGUCAGGAGUCUGUGUUACGUCUUGAAUUGUGGGAGCAACAGAAAUGUUUUCUACUUAUCUGUAUCUCUGUCUGCAAAGCCUACAAGGUGUGUGUGUGUGUGUGUGUGUCACAGAAUUGUUGAGUUGGAACGGACCCUGAGGGUCUAGUCCAGGCAUCCCCAAACUCAGCCCUCCAGAUGCUUUGGGACUACAACUCCCAUCAUCCCUAGCUAACAGGACCAGUGGUCAGGGAUGAUGGGAAUUGUAGUCCCAAAACAUCUGGAGGGCCGAGUUUGGGGAUGCCUGGUCUAGUCCAACCCUCUACAGUGCAGGUAUCCUGCCCACAUUGUCAACAUCAGGAAAUGUGCUACUGAAGCCUAACCUUUUGCAGCAGUAAACUAUUUUGGACCUUAAGCUGCUUCUGUGUAGUGACUGGAACUGGGGGGGGAACUUUCACUGUGUGAGUUUCUUGCCUCUGAUUCUCCACCACCAUAGCCCAGUAGUAGGGCAUAUGCUUUCGAGGGAGGCGAUCCCAGUCCCUGCUAUCUCUGGCGAAAAGGAUUAGGUAGUCAGGGGAAAGAGCUUUGGGCCUUAAACCGCAGAGAGCUGCUGUCGGUCAGAGUAUACAGUACUGGCCUGCAUGGAUGAAUAGUCGCACCUUGGUUAAGACAGCUUCCUAGGUUCUUAUUUAUUAGUGCAUAUUAACUCCCAACCUAUGCAUAACAAUUUCCCUUAGAGAUGGCAUGGCACAUUGCCAUCAACUUACCGUUGUCUUUUAGUAAUUGAUGUGAGGUUAGUUGGCUAAUUAAAUAGGAUGGUAGUAACAUGGCUACUGUUUUAAGUAUCUAAAUAUGAUUCAGCUCUGUGGAAGAAAGGAGGAGGAUGGGAUGUAAUGUUGGAGAAGCAGAGCAGAUACUGUGUCCUACAGAUACAUGGGCAUUUACAACAGAGCUGAAGCAAAAAAACAAAAAAAGAAUGUGCUGAACUGUAACUAUGAAUCAUUUCCAGAUUUUGCAAUGAUUUAUGUUCCAGGCUCAACUUACAUCUCCUGAAAAGCCAUCAGCAGUGUUUUUGCAUUUAGUAGGCAGGAGUAUAAAAUCUCAAUUUACUGGUGACUUUAAUUUCCUGCUAAGAGGUAUAUGGUUCAUGAUCAAAAGUAAGAUAAUAUAACCUGAAGUCACUGAGUGGAUUAUAUGAUUCUUCGCAGUGAUAAGGAUGCCAGAUAUGUGUACCAUUUUGCGUGCUUUGCGUUCGUUUGUUUUUAUGUUGCGAACCACCCUGAGAUCUGCGGAUGAAGGGCAGUACACACAUUUAAUAAAAAAUAUUAAUAAUAAUAAUAAUAAUAAUAAUAAUAAUACCAUAGAGCUGGAGACAAUUCCAUACUUCCUGGGCAUGCAGUAUUGAUCCAUAAUACACCCUUUACAUAUUCUGCGAAGAUGCUGAUAUUGUAAUUCCCUACAUUGUCCCAACCUAACCUAAUGGGUGCUCUUACUAAUUUCUGCCUGAGUUGAGGGUCAAAGCAGAUGAGAAGCCAUUCACACUACUCUCAGUUGUGUGAAUGACUUAGAAGUAAUUAGCAGGCACAAAGCUCCCCCCCCCCAAAAAAAUCUGGAAGUGGAUGCCAACCCAGUGUGACUAUGGGGUGGGGUGGUGCUAAUUCCUCUGUGCUGUGGUCAAGAUCAAAAACAACCGCACUGCAAACCUGCUUAUUUGCAAAUGAAGAAACGGCCCAUUCACAUCGAUGGAAGCUUUUCUUCCAGUGUAAAUAGCAGGCAUGAUGCUCCUGAUCAGGACCACAGCAGGGGGCAAAAAGGCAAUUCCCCCUGCCACCCAUACCAUGGUCUCAAUUGGGAUCUUCCUCCCCUCUGCUGCCCAGCUCCUGCUAUUUUAUUUUAAAGAGAUAUUUACACUAUUUCUAAUUGUAUAAAUGGUGCCUUGUCUGUUUUAGCCAGGACAUUUGAUGAAACAGUGGCAUUUGUUCCAGUAUUCACUGAUGACCAUAAAAUGAUAACAAUCUCUCUCUCUUUGUUUUUUUCUGUGUUACGGUGCUCUCUGAAAGAUAUAGGAAAAGUGGCAUUAUGCCUAAAUGACAUUUCAGUGCGAUUCAGAGUAUAUUUCUCUGAAGUUGGAAAGUUCAGGCUGGAAUUCAUUUGGAUUUCUUCAAUCUAUAAAAACAAGGGGGAUAAGGGUUUGGAUACAGUGGGGCAUUUCACAAUAUCUCAGUUUAGACAACUUGUUUUGUUUUGGUAAAAUGAUUCCAGAAUAGAUACAUAUGGAAUGAUGUUUUCCUAAUAUACUCUGUUAAAACAAUUCAAAACAUUCACAUGCAACCUUACUGCCUGUUAUUUCUUCUGAUUUCAAUUGCAUCUCUUAACAAACCGUUCAGAAAACCUCCCUCAGUCAAGUGUGUUUAAUACAGGAGCUGUUUCUCCAGGUGGGCCAGGUUAGGAGAAGCUCAGCACUUCAGAUAGAUUGUUUUUCCAUUUAAAUGGAUUGCAGGCCAGUUCUGGGAUCACUUAGGCCAGUGUUGGCUUGCUAGUUCUCUCCUGGUGCCCUUUUCCUGGUUGUUUCCUUUGCUUAGAAAUCCUGAUCUUCAAGAUAUCUUUUCCACCAGAGGCUUCCCUGAAUUCAUAGAAUCAAAGAAUUUUAGAGUUGACUCUACUAAGACCCCUAGACCCCUUUUUACUGGCAAACCAGGUGUUCCCCAUCUUAUAUUUGUGCUGCUGGUUAUUCCUGCCAAAGUGCAGAACCUUGCAUUUGUCCCUAAUCAAAUUCAUUUUGCUAGUUUUGGCUCAGUUCUCCAAUCUGUUAAGGUCAUCUUCAAACCUGUCUUCUGCGACAUUGGCUAUCUCUCCCAGUUUGGUGCCAUCUGCAAAUUUAAUGUUUCCUGUUUUGCUGGCCUGUGAGAACCAAAAUGAAGCCCGCUAGAAUUAUGACCCAUGAAAUGCUGGUAUUUGGUGCCUUGGAGAGUGCAGUUUUAGAGUCUUCAGUGAUCUGCUGCUUGUGAAAUGAAACUAAAUGAGAACAUACCAGGUUCUAGGAUAACUGAGCCAUUAAGUUGUGCUGCCAUAUUUAACAGGAUAAAAUUCAAAGGGCGGGGGAACCAAUUGGAAGAGUUUAGAAGUGUGAGGAGAACCGAAAAUAAAUCUGAAGAACUGGUGCUACUAAGAUUAAUGGCAACAUAAUAAGAAAGUCAUAUAUUACAAAGUAAAAUAUAAAAAUGCUCCACUCUGGAAUGUAUUAAGAAUAGUGAGAGAACGUCAUUGUAAUAUAAAAUCAUUCCAUAACAACUCUAAUAAUUAUUUAUGAAAUACCUCUACCC